rnacentral:rRNA from 1 species
CCUACGGGCGGCAGCAGUCGAGAAUUAUUCACAAUGGGGGAAACCCUGAUGGUGCGACGCCGCGUGGGGGAAUGAAGAUCUUCGGAUUGUAAACCCCUGUCAUGUGGGAGCAAAUUAAAAAGAUAGUACCACAAGAGGAAGAGACGGCUAACUCUGUGCCAGCAGCCGCGGUAAUACAGAGGUCUCAAGCGUUGUUCGGAAUCACUGGGCGGAAGGCGUGCGUAGGCGGUUUCGUAAGUCGUGUGUGAAAGGCGCGGGCUCAACCCGCGGACGGCACAUGAUACUGCGAGACUAGAGUAAUGGAGGGGGAACCGGAAUUCUCGGUGUAGCAGUGAAAUGCGUAGAUAUCGAGAGGAACACUCGUGGCGAAGGCGGGUUCCUGGACAUUAACUGACGCUGAGGCACGAAGGCCAGGGGAGCGAAAGGGAUUAGAUACCCUGGUAGUC